rnacentral:tRNA from 1 species
GUGAGUCUGCAGUUGGUAUCGCAUUGGCCUAGAAUGCCGAAGACGCUGGUUCGAAUCCAGCCGGUGCCCA